CUCAAUGUUUCUCUUUUUUUUUUGACUCUCCCACUAGGUGACAGUAUUUUGUGAAUCCUAAUAUAUCUGAUGGGUAUGAGAUACGCUGCAUUUAAAAAGUUCUGAGGGGGCUGGGUUUUUUUUUUUUUUUUUGUCUUUCCAAAACCAAAAACACAACAAAAAAAGUGAAAUGUGGAUUAAACAGUGUAUUUACAGUUUAUUUACUCUAAAGUUAGGAGCAAUUGUUAGCAUGUCCGACUAAAUAGCUUACUACCUACGUAACCAAAUUUCCAAGGAGCACAUCGUUAACUAACUACAUUAGUUUGUGGGUUACACGCUAAGUGAAAAAAAGUUCUCUUAAUAACCUCACAGUAGUAUUAGUAGUAUAGUAGCCGGUCCUGCAUGAUAUCAGAGUUUAAGCUAACGUUAGGUACUCUGUCCUGCUCUUGGAUUUGGGGAAGUUUACACUUCAGCAACCCUAGCCAAUGUAAGGCGAGUUAGCGGUAUGUUUGCCAAACACAUCAGUUAGACCUCAUCCUAAAAGUCUUGGCUCUUGUGACGUUAAAAGUGUGUUUGAAAAAACAAAAAAAGUAUGUAAGCUAAAACAGGGUUGUUAAUAAUAAGUCUGAUCUUACAUUUUUCCUUUUUAUACUUAGCCACACUGCAAUACAAAAACAAUGAUGUUUCUUUAUUUUGCGUUACAUGUCAUGGAUCAGCAACUAUUGAAGAUUUUGAUUUUUUGCCUGGGACAUGAAGCUUUAGCCUCAGUAACACGAUAUAGAGUGUAUUUUUAAGAACCCUUUUACAGGAUUCUUGUUUAAAAACAAGUAAGCUGAAAACAUUAAAAAAUCAUGACUUUCUCUCUCCACAAGCUACCCAGAGCCGCUGAAGCUACAAUGUUGUUGUUUCAUACAUAGAUUUAUAAAGUACCAGAUUUAGUCACACAAGCAAUGCUCGUUCUUUUGCUUCCAGGCUGAUAAAAGGACCAGGAGUCCCCGGAUAAAAAACAUCAGGAGCUGGGGAGGAAACGCAAGGCUGAUGAAAAAUAGUCUGUCAAUCUGUCUGCCCUGGGUAGAAUCUCAAACCCAGGAAUCUGACGUCUCUCUUUGUCUCUUUUUGUCUGUCUCUUUCUCUCAGUGCUGCAGGGAGUCAUUCAGCAUUAAAUUAGUCACAGUUUUCACAACAAAGACACGAAAAGAGUGGAGAGUAAGUAGAGGGUGAAAGGGCAUGACCCAUCUUUAUGUUUUUUAGGUUUCUGAUUUAUAUUCAAUUAAGAUUCUUGUAGAUAAAGAGCGAAGUAAAAUAACAAGUGACGUAAUUAAGAAAAGGGUAGUGAAAGUCACUACAACUCAACACACAGCACCCCUGGGAAAUACUGUAAAAAGUGAUGUGGAGCACAAGCCUAUAUAAAAAUCUUAAGAGCUCAUCAACUCAUGGGUGUGUUUAAAUAGAACAAGCUCAGCUCUCAUAAACAUUAAGAAGGCUGUGAAUAGGAGGGAACCAAAUUAAUUUGAUCUGACUUUAACUGAAAUGAAAGUAGAGACACUGAGUUUUAUUUCAUUUAAUUUGUGUGGCAGAGAGGGCGAUUGAUUCUUAGCACAAGCUAUGGAGUUAUCAGGGCUGAGGAUACAAAAGCUUACUCAAAUAAAAGUGGAUGGAAAGAACAGAUCAUAGCGCAUUUGGUCUGCUAGGAAUCGGGUGGAUUUGCACCACAUUUGAUUUGCUGUUUCCAACUAGCAAAAUUUGAUAACCAGGAAGUUAAUACGGUCAUUGUAAUCUUUAUACAUUGUAUGUGCAGGUCUUGAAUUGUCUUAAAAAGCAUUGAAUUCGGUUUCUUCAAUAAAAGGCCUUAGAAGGUAUUCAAAAAGUCGUUCAUAUUUCUCUUGCCAGCUGUAGGCAGUAAUGUAAGUUAUUGCACUUAAUAUGGGCUGUCGAGAGACAUUUUAUAUCUAUGAACUCAAAGAUAGUUGGAAAAGGAUUGUUGCAAUGUUGGAUUGUGCUGCAGGAGUCCUUUAUGGUUGAGCUUCA